rnacentral:rRNA from 1 species
UACGAAGGGGGCUAGCGUUGCUCGGAAUCACUGGGCGUAAAGGGUGCGUAGGCGGGGCUUUAAGUCAGGGGUGAAAUCCUGGAGCUCAACUCCAGAACCGCCUUUGAUACUGAGGAUCUUGAGUUCGGGAGAGGUGAGUGGAACUGCGAGUGUAGAGGUGAAAUUCGUAGAUAUUCGCAAGAACACCAGUGGCGAAGGCGGCUCACUGGCCCGAUACUGACGCUGAGGCACGAAAGCGUGGGGAGCAAACAGG